rnacentral:rRNA from 1 species
CGUAGGGACCGAGCGUUGUCCGGAUUCAUUGGGCGUAAAGAGCUCGUAGGCGGCUGCUCAAGUCGAAUGUGAAACCUCGAGGCUUAACCUCGAGCCUGCAUUCGAUACUGGGCGGCUAGAGUCUGGUAGGGGGAUCUGGAAUUCCUGGUGUAGCGGUGGAAUGCGCAGAUAUCAGGAGGAACACCGGUGGCGAAGGCGGGAUCCUGGGCCAGUACUGACGCUGAGGAGCGAAAGCGUGGGGAGCAAACAGGAUUAGAUACCCUGGUAGUCCACGCCGUAAACGAUGGGCGCUAGGUGUGGGAGGUCAUCGACUCCCUCCGUGCCGCAGCUAACGCAUUAAGCGCCCCGCCUGGGGAGUACGGCCGCAAGGCUA